GACGAACGCUGGCGGCGUGCUUAACACAUGCAAGUCGAACGGAAAGGCCCUGCUUUUGUGGGGUGCUCGAGUGGCGAACGGGUGAGUAACAUGUGAGUAACCUUGCCUUGACUUUGGGACAACUUCAGGAAACUGGGGCUAAUACCGGCUAGGAGCUCCUGCUGCAUGGUGGGGGUUGGAAAGUUUCGGCGGUUGGGGAUGGACUGGCGGCUUACCAGCUUGUUGGUGGGGUAGUGGCCUACCAAGGCUUUGACGGGUAGUCGGCCUGAGAGGGUGACCGGCCACAUUGGGACUGAGAUACGGCCCAGACUCCUACGGGAGGCAGCAGUGGGGAAUAUUGCACAAUGGGCGGAAGCCUGAUGCAGCAACGCCGCGUGCGGGAUGACGGCCUUCGGGUUGUAAACCGCUUUCGCCUGUGACGAAGCGUGAGUGACGGUAAUGGGUAAAGAAGCACCGGCUAACUACGUG
rnacentral:rRNA from 1 species